rnacentral:lncRNA from 1 species
ACAAAUUAUAUGGGAUCCGUUUCAAAUGCUAGGUCGUGUUGGCUAUUUAUUAUUGGACUAAAUAGUUUCAACUUUCUGCCCUAUGACACUAGGCCCGAGAGACUAAUAAGUUAAGUUGGGUGAGCCGAAUAAAAGAAGUUAAGUGGAGGUGUAGUCUAUGAGAGACCUAAUAGUAAGAGACCUAAUAAUAGACCGAACGUCCAGUUGGGUUGAGUCAGAUCGAAACCCGGCCGUAAACAUUAUGGUUGAGCCCUUAAGUGCGAUGGAUGCGUUUUUUCUAUCUGCACAUGCUUUUGAAAUAGUUGGUUAACAUUUACGAUCCACAGACUGUUUUAAAACUGAAUCUGUAGGUAUGAUUAUGUGUUGUGAUU